rnacentral:tRNA from 1 species
UGGGGCAUAGCUCAGUGGUAGGGCACUGUGCGUAGCAUGCACAAAGUCCUGGGUUCAAUUCCCAGUACCUCCA